rnacentral:rRNA from 1 species
CCCUUAGAUGUUCUGGGCCGCACGCGCGCUACACUGAUGCAUUCAACGAGUCUAAAACCUGGUCUGAUAGGGCUGGGUAAUCUUUUGAAUGUGCAUCGUGAUUGGGAUAGAUGAUUGCAAUUCUUCAUCUUCAACGAGGAAUGCCUAGUAAACGCAAGUCAUCAGCUUGCAUUGAUUACGUCCCUGCCCUUUGUACACACCGCCCGUCGCUCCUACCGAUUGAAUGUUCCGAUGAAUACCAUGGACUGAGAGUAUGAAUUGGUUCGCCUAUUUCUGCUUCUCGGGAAGUGGAGUAAAUCUUAACAUUUAGAGGAAGGAGAAGUCGUAACA